rnacentral:rRNA from 1 species
UGCCAGCCGCCGCGGUAAUACGUACCGGACAAACGUUAUUCGGAAUCACUGGGCUUAAAGAGUACGUAGGCUGUUUUGUAGGUGAGAUGUGAAAUCCCACGGCUCAACCGUGGAACUGCGUUUCAAACCACAAAACUUGAGGGAGACAGGGGUGAGCGGAACUGAUGGUGGAGCGGUGAAAUGCGUUGAUAUCAUCAGGAACACCGGUGGCGAAGGCGGCUCACUGGGUCUCUUCUGACGCUGAGGUACGAAAGCUAGGGUAGCGAACGGGAUUAGAUA